rnacentral:rRNA from 1 species
AUGAACGCUAGCUACAGGCUUAACACAUGCAAGUCGAGGGGCAGCAUGGUCUUAGCUUGCUAAGGCCGAUGGCGACCGGCGCACGGGUGAGUAACACGUAUCCAACCUGCCGUCUACUCUUGGACAGCCUUCUGAAAGGAAGAUUAAUACAAGAUGGCAUCAUGAGUCCGCAUGUUCACAUGAUUAAAGGUAUUCCGGUAGACGAUGGGGAUGCGUUCCAUUAGAUAGUAGGCGGGGUAACGGCCCACCUAGUCUUCGAUGGAUAGGGGGUUCUGAGAGGAAGGUCCCCCACAUUGGAACUGAGACACGGUCCAAACUCCUACGGGAGGCAGCAGUGAGGAAUAUUGGUCAAUGGGCGAGAGCCUGAACCAGCCAAGUAGCGUGAAGGAUGACUGCCCUAUGGGUUGUAAACUUCUUUUAUAAAGGAAUAAAGUCGGGUAUGCAUACCCGUUUGCAUGUACUUUAUGAAUAAGGAUCGGCUAACUCCGUG